rnacentral:rRNA from 1 species
CAGCAGCCGCGGUAAUACGUAGGGUGCGAGCGUUAAUCGGAAUUACUGGGCGUAAAGCGUGCGCAGGCGGUUUUGUAAGACAGAUGUGAAAUCCCCGGGCUUAACCUGGGAACUGCAUUUGUGACUGCAAGGCUAGAGUAU